GAAAGAGAGCCGUAACACAGGUGCUGCAUGGCUGUCGUCAGCUCGUGUCGUGAGAUGUUGGGUUAAGUCCCGCAACGAGCGCAACCCUUGUCAUUAGUUGCUACAUUCAGUUGGGCACUCUAAUGAGACUGCCGGUGACAAGCCGGAGGAAGUGGGGAUGACGUCAAGUCCUCAUGGCCCUUAUAGUGGGGCUACACACGUCAUACAAUGGCUGGUACAAAGGGUUGCCAACCCGGCGAGGGGGGAGCCAAUCCCAUAAAGCCAGUCGUAGUCCGGAUCGUAGUCUGCAACUCGACUACGUGAAGUCGGAAUCGCUAGUAAUCGUGGAUCAGAAUGUCACGGUGAAUACGUUCCCGGGUCUU
rnacentral:rRNA from 1 species